CGGCAGGCUUAACACAUGCAAGUCGAGGGGUAACAUAGAAAAGCUUGCUUUUCUGAUGACGACCGGCGCACGGGUGCGUAACGCGUAUACAAUCUGCCUUAUACUGGGGUAUAGCCUUUAGAAAUGAAGAUUAAUCCCCCAUAGUCUCUUUUAAUGGCAUCAUUACAAGAGUAAAGGUUACGGUAUAAGAUGAGUAUGCGUUCUAUUAGUUUGUUGGUGAGGUAACGGCUCACCAAGACUGCGAUAGAUAGGGGCCCUGAGAGGGGGAUCCCCCACACUGGUACUGAGACACGGACCAGACUCCUACGGGAGGCAGCAGUGAGGAAUAUUGGACAAUGGAGGCAACUCUGAUCCAGCCAUGCCGCGUGCAGGAAGACUGCCCUAUGGGUUGUAAACUGCUUUUAUACAGGAAGAAACCUUGGUACGUGUACCAAGCUGACGGUACUGUAAGAAUAAGGAUCG
rnacentral:rRNA from 1 species